rnacentral:rRNA from 1 species
CCUACGGGAGGCAGCAGUGAGGAAUAUUGGUCAAUGGGCGGGAGCCUGAACCAGCCAAGUCGCGUGAGGGAAGACGGUCCUAUGGAUUGUAAACCUCUUUAGGCGGGGAGCAAUGCCGGGCACGCGUGCCCGGAGGGAGAGUACCCGCAGAAUAAGCAUCGGCUAACUCCGUGCCAGCAGCCGCGGUAAUACGGAGGAUGCGAGCGUUAUCGGGAGGUAUUGGGUUUAAGGGGUGCGUAGGCGGAUUUUUAAGUCAGCGGUAAAAUGUCCGGGCUCAACCCGGGCGGGCCGUUGAAACUGGGGAGCUUGAGUGGGCGAGAGGUAUGCGGAAUGCGUGGUGUAGCGGUGAAAUGCAGAGAUAUCACGCAGAACACCGAUGGCGAAGGCAGCAUACCGGCGCCCGACUGACGCUGAGGCACGAAAGCGUGGGGAUCGAACAGGAUUAGAUACCCUAGUAGUC